GUGGGGAAUAUUGGACAAUGGGGGGAACCCUGAUCCAGCCAUGCCGCGUGUGUGAAGAAGGUCUUCGGAUUGUAAAGCACUUUAAGUUGGGAGGAAGGGCAGUAAGUUAAUACCUUGCUGUUUUGACGUUACCGACAGAAUAAGCACCGGCUAACUUCGUGCCAGCAGCCGCGGUAAUACGAAGGGUGCAAGCGUUAAUCGGAAUUACUGUGCGUAAAGCGCGCGUAGGUGGUUCAGCAAGGUGGAGGUGAAAUCCCCGGGCUCAACCUGGGAACUGCCUCCAAAACUACUGAGCUAGAGUACGGUAGAGGGUAGUGGAAUUUCCUGUGUAGCGGUGAAAUGCGUAGAUAUAGGAAGGAACACCAGUGGCGAAGGCGACUACCUGGACUGAUACUGACACUGAGGUGCGAAAGCGUGGGGAGCAAACAGGAUUAGAAACCCGUGUAGUCC
rnacentral:rRNA from 1 species